UACAGAGGGUGCUAGCGUUGUUCGGAAUCAUUGGGCGUAAAGGGCGUGUAGGCGGUUUGUUAAGUCAUGUGUGAAAUCCCUCGGCUCAACCGGGGAACGACGCAUGAAACUGGCAAGCUAGAGUACCAAAGAGGGGGGUGGAAUUCCCGGUGUGGCGGUGAAAUGCGUAGAUAUCAGGAAGAACACCAAUGGCGAAGGCAGCUCUCUGGGACGGUACUGACACUGAGACGCGAAAGCGUGGGGAGCGAACAGG
rnacentral:rRNA from 1 species